CGUGCCAGCAGCCGCGGUAAUACGGGGGGUCCGAGCGUUAAUCGGAAAUACUGGGCGUAAAGGGUCUGUAGGUGGUUUGUUAAGUCAGAUGUGAAAGCCCAGGGCUCAACCUUGGAACUGCAUUUGAUACUGGCAAACUAGAGUAUGGUAGAGGAAUGGGGAAUNUCUGGUGUAGCGGUGAAAUGCGUAGAGAUCAGAAGGAACACCAAUGGCGAAGGCAACAUUCUGGACCAAUACUGACACUGAGGGACGAAAGCGUGGGGAUCAAACAGGAUUAGAUACCCUGGUAGUCCACGCUGUAAACGAUGAGUACUAGCUGUUGGAUUCGGUGUAAAGGAUCUAGUGGCGUAGCUAACGCGUUAAGUACUCCGCCUGGGGACUACGGCCGCAAGGCUAAAACUCAAAGGAAUUGACGGGGACCCGCACAAGCGGUGGAGCAUGUGGUUUAAUUCGAUGCAACGCGAAGAACCUUACCUGGUCUUGACAUCCUGCGAACUUUCUAGAGAUAGAUUGGUGCCUUCGGGAACGCAGUGACAGGUGCUGCACGGCUGUCGUCAGCUCGUGUUGUGAAAUGUUGGGUUAAGUCCCGCAACGAGCGCAACCCCUAUUGAUAGUUACCAUCAUUAAGUUGGGUACUCUAUUGAGACUGCCGCUGACAAGGCGGAGGAAGGUGGGGACGACGUCAAGUCAUCAUGGCCCUUACGACCAGGGCUACACACGUGCUACAAUGGGUAUUACAGAGGGCAGCGAAGUAGCGAUAUGGAGCGAAACUCAGAAAGGUACUCUUAGUCCGGAUUGCAGUCUGCAACUCGACUGCAUGAAGUCGGAAUCGCUAGUAAUCGCAGGUCAGAAUACUGCGGUGAAUACGUUCCCGGGUCUUGUACACACCGCCCGUCACACCAUGGGAGUGGGUUGCUCCAGAAGUAGAUAGCUUAAC
rnacentral:rRNA from 1 species